AUUGAACGCUGGCGGCAUGCCUUACACAUGCAAGUCGAACGGCAGCGGGGGAGAAGCUUGCUUUUCCUGCCGGCGAGUGGCGAACGGGUGAGUAAUACAUCGGAACGUGCCCUGUAGUGGGGGAUAACUAGUCGAAAGAUUAGCUAAUACCGCAUACGACCUGAGGGUGAAAGUGGGGGACCGCAAGGCCUCAUGCUAUAGGAGCGGCCGAUGUCUGAUUAUCUAGUUGGUGGGGUAAAGGCCUACCAAGGCGACGAUCAGUAGCUGGUCUGAGAGGACGAUCAGCCACACUGGGACUGAGACACGGCCCAGACUCCUACGGGAGGCAGCAGUGGGGAAUUUUGGACAAUGGGCGAAAGCCUGAUCCAGCAAUGCCGCGUGUGUGAAGAAGGCCUUCGGGUUGUAAAGCACUUUUGUCCGGAAAGAAAUGGCUCUGGUUAAUACCUGGGGUCGAUGACGGUACCGGAAGAAUAAGGACCGGCUAACUACGUGCCAGCAGCCGCGGUAAUAC
rnacentral:rRNA from 1 species